rnacentral:ribozyme from 1 species
AUAAUUAAAAUCAAUGGCAAAAUAAUUGCAACUGGAAACAGCACUUUCCCAUAGCUCUGCAAUACGUGCAAUACUCUGUAACGUGUGCCACCACAUAUCCAAGCUUGGGUACACGGGCUUGACCCAACCCCUUGGGCGGAUGCUGGCAUAUGGCAAACCAGGAGGGG